rnacentral:rRNA from 1 species
UGAACGCUGGCGGCGUGCCUAACACAUGCAAGUCGAACGGAGUCCAGCCUUUAAGACCUUCGGGUCAAAGAGGGGAAGACUGAGUGGCGGACGGGUGAGUAACACGUGGGCAACCUGGCUCAUAGAGGGGGAUAACAGAGAGAAAUUUCUGCUAAUACCGCAUAAGCACACACUGCCGCAUGGCAGAGGGUGAAAAGAGAAUCGCUAUGAGAUGGACCCGCGUCUGAUUAGCCAGUUGGCAGGGUAAGAGCCUACCAAAGCGACGAUCAGUAGCCGAUCUGAGAGGAUGAACGGCCACAUUGGGACUGAGACACGGCCCAAACUCCUACGGGAGGCAGCAGUGGGGGAUAUUGCACAAUGGGGGGAACCCUGAUGCAGCGACGCCGCGUGAGUAAAGAAGUAUUUCGGUAUGUAAAGCUCUAUCAGCAGGGAAGAUAAUGACAGUACCUGAAGAAGAAGCCCCGGCUAACUACGUG